rnacentral:rRNA from 1 species
AAGGAUUUCUUCGGAAUGAAUCUGAUUAAGUUUAGUGGCGGACGGGUGAGUAACGCGUGAGUAACCUGCCUCUAAGAGGGGAAUAACAUUCUGAAAAGAAUGCUAAUACCGCAUAACAUAUAUUUAUCGCAUGGUAGAUAUAUCAAAGAUUUAUCGCUUAGAGAUGGACUCGCGUCCGAUUAGUUAGUUGGUGAGGUAACGGCUCACCAAGACCGCGAUCGGUAGCCGGACUGAGAGGUUGAACGGCCACAUUGGGACUGAGACACGGCCCAGACUCCUACGGGAGGCAGCAGUGGGGGAUAUUGCGCAAUGGGGGAAACCCUGACGCAGCAACGCCGCGUGAAGGAUGAAGGUCUUCGGAUUGUAAACUUCUUUUAUUAAGGACGAAGAAAGUGACGGUACUUAAUGAAUAAGCUCCGGCUAACUACGUGCCAGCAGCCGCGGUAAUACGUAGGGAGCAAGCGUUGUCCGGAUUUACUGGGUGUAAAGGGUGCGUAGGCGGCUUUGCAAGUCAGAUGUGAAAUCUAUGGGCUCAACCCAUAGCCUGCAUUUGAAACUGCAGAGCUUGAGUGAAGUAGAGGCAGGCGGAAUUCCCCGUGUAGCGGUGAAAUGCGUAGAGAUGGGGAGGAACACCAGUGGCGAAGGCGGCCUGCUGGGCUUUAACUGACGCUGA